rnacentral:rRNA from 1 species
AUUGAACGCUGGCGGCAGGCCUAACACAUGCAAGUCGAACGAUUGGCGGACGGGUGAGUAAUGUCUGGGACACUUCCCUGUGGAUGGGGAUAACUACUGGAAACGGUAGAUAAUACCGCAUCCUAUCGUAUGUGCCCAGAUGGGCUUAGCUAGUAGGUGGGGUAACGGCUCACCUAGGCGACGCUCCCUAGCUGGUCUGAGAGGAUGACCAGCCAACAUGGAACUUGGACACGGUCCAGACUCCUACGGGAGGCAGCAGUGGGGAAUAUUGCACUAUGGGCGCAAGCCUGAUGCAGCCAUGCCGCGUGUAUGAAGAAUGCCUUCGGGUUGUAAAGUACUUGCAGCGAGGAGGCGUUACUCGCAGAAGAAGCAUCGGCUAACUCCGUGCCAGCAGCCGCGGUAAUUC